ensembl:lncRNA
CCAGUUUGGAGUGGGGAGGCGAGAGAAGGCCGGGGGCGGGGCCGCAGGGCAGGAGACCUGUUGAUCGCAGGUAGCGCAGGCUGGCCGGGGUUCCCUCGGGACCGGGGCGACUGCGCAUGCUCGGUGGCGGUUUCGGGCCAGUAGCCGAGCGGCGGUGACGAACCGGCUUCUCUGCUGCGGUGGUUGCGGUUGCUGCGAUGGCGAUGUGAGGGGGCCCGGGGAGGGAUGGUGCUGACCCGGGUAGGGCCGUCUUUUUCCAGCAGGACAACGAGCUCCUCCGUCCAACAGGCGGUGGCGGAGGACAAGCCGGGCGAAAGGGUUGAAGAUCAACCGGAUUAUGUAUUUCGUUCUGGAAUCUCAAAGCAGUCCACAAACAGUAAAUUCUUCCUUAUGUUGUCUGUGUCAGGGGGAACAAUAUAUUUUCAAUAA